UACGUAGGUGGCAAGCGUUGUCCGGAAUUACUGGGUGUAAAGGGAGCGCAGGCGGGAAGCCAAGUCAGCUGUGAAAACUACGGGCUUAACUCGUAGACUGCAGUUGAAACUGGUUUUCUUGAGUGAAGUAGAGGUUGGCGGAACUCCGAGUGUAGCGGUGAAAUGCGUAGAUAUUCGGAGGAACACCGGUGGCGAAGGCGGCCAACUGGGCUUUAACUGACGCUGAGGCUCGAAAGUGUGGGGAGCAAACAGG
rnacentral:rRNA from 1 species